CUUGAAAUAGGAUCCAGAGCCUUUGAUGAAACCACAGUCUCAGUUGACAUCUCAAUUGCAGCCUGUGGAACCCUAAGCAGAGGAUACAGCUAAACCAUGUUCACACCACCUGACACAUGAAAAUGGACAUGGAUGAAUCUGGAAAACAUCAUCCUCAGCAAGCUGACACAAGAACAGAAAGUGAAACACCGCAUAUUCUCACUCAUAGGUCCUUGGGCUUCACUCACUCAAGAAUGGAGAGAGUGCCCCGGUGACAUGGUGAGUUCGUUAAAUGCUUACUACACAUUCCUGUACAACACAGCUGGCAAUCUGGAUUGGACACUGCUGAUCAAAACUUUGCUGAUUAUGCUAGUUGCACUUUCCAAUGAAAAGGCUUACUAUCCAUCCUGUUG
rnacentral:lncRNA from 13 species